CAUGCAGUCGAGCGAGAAUCCGUGAGUGGCGGCUUCGGCCAAAGCGAUCAGAGGAAAGCGGCAAACGGCGUAGUUAUGCGUCGGUGACGUACCCCCCGGUCGGGAAUAGCCACGGGAAACUGUGGGUAAUGCCCGAUAAUGUCUCUCUGUUUUGCAGGGGGACCAAAGGUGAGAUUCCGCCUGGGGAGCGGCUGACGUGAUAUUAGCUAGAUGGUGGGGUAACGGCCUACCAUGGCUUUGAUGUCCAGGGGGUGUGAGAGCAUGGCCCCCACGACCGGAACUGAGACACUGUCCGGACACCUACGGGUGGCUGCAGUCGAGAAUCUUCCGCAAUGGACGAAAGUCUGACGGAGCGACGCCGCGUGCGGGAUGAAGGCCCUUGGGUUGUAAACCGCUGUCAGAGGGGAUGAAGUCGUUGGUGGUUAUCCACCUUCGUUGACAGAGCCUCAGAGGAAGCCCGGGCUAAGUACGUGCCAGCAGCCGCGGUAACACGUACUGGGCGAGCGUUAUUCGGAAUCACUGGGCUUAAAGGGUCCGUAGGCGGCCAGUCAGGUCAGGUGUGAAAUCUCCCGGCUCAACCGGGAAACAGCGCUUGAAACCGACAGGCUUGAGUGUCCUAGGGGUGUGUGGAACUUCUGGUGGAGCGGUGAAAUGUGUUGAGAUCAGAAGGAACGCCGGUAGCGAAAGCGGCACACUGGGGGACAACUGACGCUGAGGGACGAAAGCCAGGGUAGCGAACGGGAUUAGAUACCCCGGUAGUCCUGGCUGUAAACGUUGAGUACUUGCUGGGAGGGGGUCAGCCCUUUCCUGGCGGCGCGAAAGCAUUAAGUACUCCGCCUGGGGAGUAUGGUCG
rnacentral:rRNA from 1 species